rnacentral:rRNA from 1 species
UACAGAGGUCCCGAGCGUUGUUCGGAUUCAUUGGGCGUAAAGGGUGCGUAGGCGGCGGGGCAAGUCUGAUGUGAAAUCCCGGGGCUCAACCCCGGAACUGCAUUGGAUACUGCCUUGCUAGAGUACUGGAGAGGGAACUGGAAUUUACGGUGUAGCAGUGAAAUGCGUAGAGAUCGAUAAGGAAGGCCAGUGGCGAAGGCGAGUUCCUGGACAGUUACUGACGCUGAGACGCGAAAGCGUGGGGGAGCGAACAGG